rnacentral:rRNA from 1 species
GAAGCGACCUGGAAAGGUCCGUCGUAGAGGGUAACAACCCCGUAGUCGAAACUUCGUUCUCUCUUGAAUGUAUCCUGAGUACGGCGGAACACGUGAAAUUCCGUCGGAAUCUGGGAGGACCAUCUCCCAAGGCUAAAUACUCCCUAGUGAUCGAUAGUGAACCAGUACCGUGAGGGAAAGGUGAAAAGUACCCCGGAAGGGGAGUGAAAGAGAACUUGAAACCGUGUGCUUACAAGUAGUCAGAGCCCGUUAAUGGGUGAUGGCGUGCCUUUUGUAGAAUGAACCGGCGAGUUACGAUCCCGUGCAAGGUUAAGCUGAAGAGGCGGAGCCGCAGCGAAAGCGAGUCUGAAUAGGGCGUUUAGUACGUGGUCGUAGACCCGAAACCAGGUGAUCUACCCAUGU